CGGCGGACGGGUGAGUAAUGCCUAGGAAUCUGCCUGGUAGUGGGGGACAACGUUUCGAAAGGAACGCUAAUACCGCAUACGUCCUACGGGAGAAAGCAGGGACCUUUGGGCCUUGCGCUAUCAGAUGAGCCUAGGUCGGAUUAGCUAGUUGGUGAGGUAAUGGCUCACCAAGGCGACGAUCCGUAACUGGUCUGAGAGGAUGAUCAGUCACACUGGAACUGAGACACGGUCCAGACUCCUACGGGAGGCAGCAGUU
rnacentral:rRNA from 1 species